rnacentral:lncRNA from 1 species
UAAAUCUUUAUGACUUUCUGGGGAGGUUCCUUGGCUGCAUCACGGUCCUCGAUCUGCUGGAUAGCCUUCUUUUUCACGAACUCUAUGCAAUGGCCAUCUCUCAUCAACUUCUCGAGGUGUUUUUUUCAAGUAAAGCAAUCGUUUGUAUACCUCUUAAUUGGAUCUCAUUUUAAAUGUGGUGGUCUCUUCAGUAAGGGUUCGUCUUUCACUUGGGCUAAGAUUUGAUGUGUCAGGAUAGAGAAUUUAGUGUAACUCUUAUCUACUAGGGUGCUCUCUUGGGGUUCUGAUUUGCGCUUUCCCCCAUGGUCCCUGCUGCUGGAUCUAUCACCCUUCUGACUUGAUGGCUGAUUGACUUGCUUAGGGACUUUUUUGCAGUGAUUUGAUCAUCAUCCUAAAGUGCAUAGCGUUCCGCAGUAGUGAAGGCCUCUGCUAUAGUCUGGUUGGGAGCGAUGGUCAGCUCGCGGUAUAGGCCGUGUUCAGCUGGCAAGCCCUUCUUAAAAGUAGAUGAUGCAAUUCAAUCAUCGUAUCCCACAAUGUUAGCCUUUUCUACUUAAAACCUCUUGAUGUAGUCUCAGAGAGACUCAUCAUGCUUCUUGGGCAAGUUGAAUAAGUGGUCAAGCUGCUUCUUGACCGUCCGGUAAAAGGUGUACUCCUUUGUGAAGGUCUCUCCAGCUGCUUAUUGACCCAAAUUGUAAGUUUUGUAACCAAUCUUGAGGUGCCCUCAACAAGGUCAUUGCAAACACCUUGCACAUCAAUGCAUCCUCAGACUUGUAGAGAAUCAUGACACUUUUGAAAUGCUUUAAAUGGCUCUCGGGAUCGGAAUCCCCUUUGAAUGGCAUGAAAGAUGGCUUUGUGAAUCACCUUGGCGAGGCCGCCUGCUUGAUCUCAUUGGUGAAAGGAGAUGAGUUUACUUGGUCUUAGGAGUGGGCAUCGGAAUCUCAAAACCGCAAAGCUGAACCAAACCGAACAAAAAAAAAUUGAAAAAAACUGUGUUGAUUGAAAAGUCAAAAACCAGAACAGAACCGAACUGGACCGAUUUCAGUCUCGGUUUUCUACCACACAGAACCGAUCCAAUCCAAACUAGUCCAGUUAUUUAAAUUAAUUAAUUAAUUAUAUUUUUAGCCCACUUUUCUCUACCUUUAGCCCAAUAUUCUCUCAAUGCAUAAAGCCCAACUUUAUAUAUAUAAAAAAUUCUAAAGCCCAACUUUAUAUAAAAAAAAAUCCUCAAGCCCAACUUUAUAUAUAAAAAAUCCUAAAGCCCAAUAACACUAACCUAUAGCCCCAAUUUAAGUAAUAACCUUAGUUUCUCAUUUUCUUUACUUAGCCGCCACUCCCCCAUCUUUCCUUAAUCUUUUUUUUUUCUUUUUUCUUAUUCUUUUCUCUCUUCUCUGUGCCGACACUCUCUCUC